CAAUUGAGGGUCAGGGAUGGUGGUGGCUCGGCUAAACAUCUGAUUGAUUUUAUUGUAUGUUUUUAUGGGGGUGCGGGCUAAAUUAAAUUUAAAAUGCCAACAGUUGAAUGCAAGAUGGUCAUGCAGGAAGGCGCUCGAGGAAAAGAAGGUUGUGUAUUAAUAGUUUUUGCCAGCUGGUAAUGAACGGUAUACAUUCUUCUUCUAAAAGAUUCUUCUUCAAUACGUAUAGUCCCCGCCAAAAGUAUUGGAACGGCAAGGUCAAUUCCUUUGUUUUUGUUGUAUACUGAAGACAUUUGGGUUUCAGAUCAAAAGAUGAAUAUGAGACAAAAGUUCAGAAUUCCAUCUUUUAAUUCGUGGGAUUUACAUCUCGAUGUGUUCAACAACUCACGACAGAGCACCUCUGGCCUUCCUGUGUGGAGUUUGAAUGUUUGGUUUUCCUCCCACGUUCCAAGACUUGUAUUCAGGUUCAUUGAAGACUAAAUUCUCCAUAGGUGCGAAUGUGAGCGUGACCGGUUGCUUGUCUUUUGUGUCCUGUGAUUGGCUGGCGUCCAGUCCAGAGUCGCCGACGAAUUGUAAUGAGGACAAACUAACUCCAGUAUGUAGAGUGCUCGCAGUGACCUCACAGGGGGCGCUGUGCACCGGCACACGGUGCAAAAAACAAACAACUAAAAAAAACCACACACAAGUACCUGGGCGUUAUCUCUGAGAGCGUUCAAUCGAUCGAUAGUCAAUUUCAACCCAAUUCCAGACCAGAAGCCUCCAAGAUCCUCUCGCGCUCCACUGUGUCUGUGAUUCUUACUCUUCGAGUUAGCAGGUUCUUCCCAAACGGGCGUCGAUUCUGCUCGAUCGAGGAGGAAGUUGACGGGCGUGGAAUGGGUUAACGGCGGACGGAAGGCCCCGGUCCAAUCAGCCCGUUAUCGGAACCGCGAGAGAGGAGGAAAAGGAGGGCGGGAGCUUGGGAGGAAGAGGGGGAAAAAAAGAAAAGCCGCCUGACGCGCAUCCUCAGCCCGCUUUCUGUCGUGUCCACAUCCGCUCCAUCAUCACCGCUAUCCCGAAAAAGCCACAAUGAAGGACCGCAUGCAAGAACUUCGACAUGACAAGGAGACGACAGGGGAAGAGGAUGAAGUGGCCGUGGGGAUGGACAAAGGAUUCAUGGAUGAAUUCUUUGAGCAGGUGGAGGAAAUCCGAGGUUACAUCGAGUCCCUGGGGGAGAAAGUUGAGGAGGUGAAGAGGAAACACAGUGCCAUCCUUGCAUCACCGAACCCUGAUGAGAAAACAAAGGCUGAACUGGAGGAUCUUAUGGCAGAUAUCAAGAAACUGGCCAACAAAGUGCGCUCCAAAUUAAAGAGUAUUCUGCAUACGAUCGAGCAGGAAGAAAGUCAGAACAGAUCGUCAGCUGAUUUGAGGAUACGCAAGACACAGCACUCCACAUUGUCCCGCAAGUUUGUGGAGGUGAUGUCCGAAUACAACACCACUCAGUCAGACUACAGGGAGCGCUGCAAGGGCCGUAUUCAGAGGCAGCUGGAGAUCACUGGAAAAAAUACGACAAACGAGGAGCUGGAAAGCAUGCUGGAAAGUGACAAUCCAGCUAUCUUUACAUCAGGGAUCAUCAUGGACAACAUCACCCAGCAAGCAAUGAACGAGAUCGAGACGCGGCACAAUGAGAUCAUCAAGCUGGAAAACAGCAUCCGAGAGCUUCACGACAUGUUCAUGGACAUGGCCAUGUUGGUGGAGAGCCAGAGAUCACAGCAGCCAGCUAACGCACAAAGGGCGAGCUGGUGAACAACAUCGAGCGCGUUGUGUGGGAGGCACAGGACUACGUGAAGCAAGCAAAGGACACCAUCCCCAAAUGCAAGAAGUUCAAAAAAACCAGCAGGCGGAAGAUGAUCCUGAUAGGAGGUUGUGUCGCCGCUUGUUUGAGCGUCCUCGUAAUUUCUCUGGCGGUUGGCCUCAGCUAGGACACGAGAUGACCUAGCAGAACAAUCCAACCCCUUUGACCCAUUUUACUGUUCAUGUGUUGUCAAUGGACUUUCUACCGAGUGCUGCUAGCAAAGAAAGUGGGCCAACAUACAGUAUAAAAAGCCUUGCUUCGUCAUUGUUUUAACAAUUUUUAAAGAUGCUACAGAUUUCCCACUGCAUGAUUCUCAUGCCCGUCACACGCAUGACUGCUGCAGUGUUUGUAUGGUUUUCCCACCAAAUGGAAAUCCACACACACAAAAACAAAACAAAAAACUUAAAGGAGACAUUAUUAUGAAAAUUGACUUAUUGUUUUUACAGUAUACAGAUAGUUGCGCCUUUGGACUGUACAGUGUAAAAUUAAGCAACCAAGUUAAUCUUUAGUUACUGUAGCUACAUUUUUCUGAAAAUGUUCACGGUUAAAUUAGCCAGUGGUGGCUUCACGCGAAAAGGUUUUACCAAUUAGUCAACUAGCAGACUUUGCUACUUGAUGUUUAACGUUUGAACUCGACUAAGCGCUAAUAAUGCUUUUUUGCCAUCUCGUCUUCCACUCAGCCAAUUUACAGAGGACUUUCAACUCUUCCGUCAGCGGACCAUUAACGCUCUGUGGAGCAGCAAAAUGUCCGGCUGACAAAGCGGCACAGUCUUCAUACUGUACGUCUGUGCAGGUCCAAGAGUACAAGAAUAAGAUGGUUGUGGAUGACAAUAGCGGUUAGUCUCACUAGCUUGGGCUAUUCCAACAAUAUCAAGAAGGUCAUCGAUUAAUCGACGACAGUCAUCACUUUAUAAUUGACUACAACCAAAAUCUAGUCGCUUCACCCCACAUAGUGCACACGUCAUACAUGUGCUGUCUGGACGCGAAGGGGGGAAUGCUCUGGAAGGAGUCUCAGACUCCGCAGAAUAUGUUUGCGCAUUGCUUUAUUUAUGCAAAUAUAGUCACUAGAGAGGUCACAAAAGUUGCUCAAUUUAGCGACAGAGUUGCUAAGUUGGUAACACUGAGUCGGCUCGCUUCAUCGUAUGUUCUACCUCAGCCUCUGGUUGUCAAGGUAACGAAAGGUCUAUUGGGAUUUCCAUGAAACAGAACUGCCUCUCCCAAAGCGGCCGAUCUGAUCCAGAGUGUGACGAGUGGCUAUUAAGUCUGCUUUUUUUCAUUAUCCUUUGUGUAUUCUGACCAACGACUGUCACAGACACCUGGGAACUCUCUUAAUUGGUGAAACAAAAAUGCAUAAUGUCUCCUUUAACUGGUGUGCUUGCAUCGUCACCAAACUUUGUAGACUGGAACAAAGUGGCUCAUGUGAAAAUAAACAAAAUGCGUUGUAUGUGCUUGUUACUGUAAACACUCCAAAAAUGUCACGAGCAAAGAAUCUCAGUUUUUCUCUUAUUCUUUUGAUUCACUGUGCAGACAAAAGUAUCGGGACACUGCUUGAGGUCAAAAUCUUGUGCACCAAGCAUGCCUUUUUGACUUUCCCCAAAAUGUUCCCAAAAAGUUGGAAGUAUACAGUUGUCCAAAAGGUCAUUAAUGGGGUCUAGUCAAACCCUUAAUUCAUUAAUUGUGUCCCACUUAGAGUAGGUGGGUAAGUGUAAUAGAUUUAUUUCUAUCAUUUGUCCAUCACAAGAACCUUUCCCAAGUUUAAGAAUCCAUUACAGUCCCCCAAAAAACACCAGAUUUUUGUUGUUGUUAAUAAAGAAAAGUAGCAGUAUAUUGUAAAAUAUAGACAUAAAAACAUAAUAGAAAAGAAUGUAAAGAUAUUAACUGCUUUUAUGAAGUGUAAUCAAGCCACGUGUCCCACACACACCGUCUCUCUCUCUCUCUCUCUCUCUCUCUCUCUCUCACACACACACACACACACACUCACUGUAGUACAUUUGCGUGCUGUGCCUUAAAAUACGCUGCCUCUCUCUCUCUCUCCCAUACUUGCUCGAUCCCCGCACCCCGCCCUCUUGAGCAGGAAGGCUCUGUCUCUUGUCAGUGGUUCAGUUCCAAAAACUUUUGUUUUAUGUCUUUCAAUAAGAAAAGUUGCGCUCAACAGUAUGGUAUUGUAUACAAACACACAGUAACAACAUUUGCACGCAAAUGUAAAAACGAUCUACAGUGUUCCCUCGCUAUAUCGCGGUUCACCUAUUGUGGAUUCAGUACAUUGUGGAUUUUUUUUUCAUAUUGCGCAUAAUUCACCAUAUCGCAGGAUUUUGAGUGUAUGCUGUAAUUUUUUUCUUUAUUUGAAUAAAUGCUGCCGAGCCUAAAACAUUAAAACUGUCAUUAAAAAAUAAAAAUUCAUUCAAACACAUACUACAAGGAAUAAAAUGUACAUACUAUAAAAUAUACCUGUGCAUUACUGUAUGUUUAAGAGUUUAAAAGGUGUUGAAGAGUAUAAAAUGUUUAUAAGUGUAUGGUAGAGGUUAAUAAGAGUGUGGGGACGGUUAGUGAGUAUGGGGAGGCUCAUAGAGCUUUAAAAUAUGUAUAAAUUUAAAAAGCCAUUGCGGGGGUGGUCCGGAACAUAACGAGGGAUUACUGUAUUUUAAGGAGCUUACUCCUUAAUUUUAGGAAACACGAACUUAUCCCAUAAAGAAUUGGAGGAUAUCUGUUGGGAGACAUUGGUAAUGUAGAAUAUUUGAAUAUUUAAGUGAUUCAGAGUCCCAAUACUUUUGCUGCUGUACAGUAGAGUAGCAUGUGUGUUUAUUGGUCAAUCCAAAAGUUUCUAACAUGUUUUCUUUUGCUCCCUACUCGCUGCCCUGGACGACUGUUGCUUUCGUCACUUGUCUUGUUUUCCUCGCUAAAUAGAAGAAAAUAAUGAUUAUUAUAUGCUGUGUGAUUCUGGGAAUAAUCAUUGCAUCCGCCGUGGGUGGCACACUGGCCUAAACCUCUGAAAACACACACACACACACACACACACACACAUGUCAAAAACAGACACGUUCCCACUUGCCAUGAAUGCAAACGUAUUACGCAAUGUUUGGAAUGCGCCGUGUCACUUCCUGUACCAUCCAUCUGACAUGACAGCAACAUGUUUUGGCAUGAGUUUCUUUCUUGUAAAAAUGUGCGGUGCUGCAACAAAUGUUUGAGUGUUGUCAACGAUUUGAUGUUUUCCCCUCAAAUUGAAUUAUUGUGUGGAAAAAGUUACAAAAAGGAAUUAUGUACCACUCUAUCCAUUCAAAGUAUGAUGGUGUACUGAGUUGUCUGUUUUGUGUGUAGGCAACUUAAGAGGGGACUAAUCUGCAGUGUUUUUUGCAAUUACACAUUUACUGACUCCAACCACUUUUUCCUGUUUUUAACUUUCUAUCCAAUGUCAACAUUACACAGGAGUGUUGUGGCCACAACAAAAAGAAAAAACAAAAUCACACUAACGUAUUGAAUUUGUAAUAUUACAGGGGAAAAUGUUUUUUAUUUUUUUAAACAGAAAAGUCGUAUUUACGUAAGGUUAAAGUUGUAUAGUUUCAAGAUAAAAAGUCAUAUCGUCUCCAAAACCACUUUUCAGGGAAUAAAAAAAAAACCGCCAUCUUGCUUGAGUUACCAAACAUUGCAUCGUUGAAGUUAAUAUUGUACCUUAUAUUGCUAUCAUAUACUGUUGCGCAACAUCAAUACAACACCACCACCAAACAACAAAAUCAUUGUUCAGUUGCUAAUUUAUUAAGGACACGUCGCCAGCACGUCUCCAAAUCAGAGUCUGCGCUCACACCAACCCCUGACCAGACAAAACACUUUUAAUACUUAACAAAAGCCAAAAUACUGCGGUUACAUCAUCUUCCCAAAUGCUUUCUCAAAGGUCUUAGAGCCAUGAGUGAUGCAAUCAAUAAAACAAUGAGCUAACUAAGCAGAGAUCUUUUUUUAACAAAACAGGCCAACUGCAAUGUAAACUAACUAUUUUCACUCAUUAUUGUUUAAAAGAACAUCCAGACUUUCAAUCUUGAGGCGACAUACGGCUCCCACAGACUGAAGUACGAGGCGGAGUUUUACAACACUUCUCAAACAGUUGAGUGUUCAAGAGCGGAUAUCGAUUUUUUUUCUCAAGCAAUUUUCAGCAAUUUAAAUUUGUUAAUAAUGCAUACAAAUAACAGACAAAAGUGUGGACCCAUAAUGGUUUUUUUUGUUUGUUUGUUUGUUUUUAAUAUGAAGUGGACUGCAUUUAGACAGACGAGGUUUUCCGCCCGACAGCGACGAUGCAGUGUUCUCCCCCAUACUCGCAAAUUCACCUGUUUGCAGAUUAUUUUGGUUUUGUACCCUGUCACAUAGGAAAGUCGUGCUUUAACACCAUUUAUGGCAUCUUGUUGCCAAUGAAAUAAAGUUUAGCCGAGGAGGUGGAGAUUAUGACUUUAAUCUUGAAGAGAUUACAACUUUAUUGUAGGGUUAUGACUUCAAGGUCCAAAAUAUAGAACUUUUUUUUCUUGAAAAUAUACAGGGUUUUUUUUGUGGGGAAAAAAACCUUUGUUUUACUUGAAUUUAAUCUUGAAAAUGUAAUGUAUUUUUUCUCAUGAAUGCACGACUUUGUUUUCAUAAGAUUAUGACUUUAAUCCAUAAUGGGGGGUUCUUCUUCUCUGUGUGGGGUGGCCCUAAUACUACUUCGUAAAUCUCCUCAACCUCCCUUACAAAACAAUGGCAAAAAAUCCUGCAUGGUCAAAUCUGGUGUCAAAUUCUGAUUGUAUUGAGAAAGGAGCUCAGUUGCAAAAAAUGCUCUUGUGCUUUAUUUGCUCUCAACUUGCCCUCAUCAUUAUCAUCUCAGACUGUUUGUUCCAGUAGUGAAUGUGCGUGAGUGCAUGCGGAUAAGCAAACGUGUUUUGUCUCGACAUGCUGAUGCGUGCUGAGUGGCACGAGAUAAAAGGACUGCUUGGCACUUUUUGUAUUGUGUAAGCUCUCUUAACACUGCCAGUAUGUUCAAAAAAUCUGAGUCUGCUCUGAUCGGGAUGUGUUAUUUAUCUUUUUUGUGUGUCUUUUGAUAAAGCUUAUGCUUUAAACGUUCAUUCUGUUUGUUCUCACUUGAAGAUAGGGUUGGGCAUCGAGAAUCGAGAACCGAUUGGAACUAGACCAGACAUUGUGGUGAUGGGGACUAUGGGACUAACAUUCCGGUUCUCCCGGAAUCGUUCAAAUAAAAAAAUAUCGGUUCCCAGUUUCGAUGCCAACAGUCCGCCGACCCGAAUAAGAAAGUGGCGAAAACCAACGAAGAAGAACGCACACGAAGACAUGCUUGUGCCCAACGGCACCAGCGAACAAAAGUGUUAACUAUGUUAAAAUAAAUGACCAGUCACCUCAGUGCAACACUAGUAUUAAGAUUAUAUUGUGCAAAGGAGGCGUUCCGGAUGUGUAGAUGUCUGACGCACUCCCUCUCGUGCCGAGCCUCAGCCUACACCGCGCGGAGCUUCAGUGAACUCAAUUGGGUGAGUGAAACCGUCAAAUAUGUCUUUGCCAACAUUGAGGCAGCUAACAAGUUAAACGGUAGGUUGCACUUUUGCAGUGAUGGUUUUUAGCGUUUGUUUUUUUUAAUCUUCAAACCAACGUAAGAGCUGAUGACAGACACAAAAAUAAAAUAUAAACGACUUUACCAUGCUGGAAAGAAAGUAGAAACAGUCGCAUUACAAGCAUAACAUUGAGCUAAAACUUCACUAAACGUCAAACUAGCAACUUUACAUCACAAUGAAUUGGGACGAAAUUCACAAAAACGUCUCACAGUAUCACAAACCGUGUGCCUCAUCGGUGGGUAGGUAAAGGAAUCAACGUUUUACAGAGCAAUUGGUUCCAUUCAUGACUCUUUUUCUUGCGUGUUGUUUUACUUUUGUUUUUACCGGUGUUGUAUGAAGUUAUUUUUCGUGCCAAAAUGCUGAGUUCCGGUGCGUACCUUUCCAAAUACAAAGCUACAUGCCUAAAACAGGAAGUCAAUUAAAACUUGCACAUAAAACAUUUGACGUGAUAAAACAGUCGCAAAUAACUAUUUUAACAAUGCUGUAUUUAACUUUUAGCUGAAGCAAUAAUUAAUGAAUAUUAUUUCCACACACAUUGCCUUUUAGUUAAUCGGUUUGUUAUUGAUACUGGUUAUAAAGAACCCCGAGUCAAAUGUUAAUUUCAGUUUAUGCUACAGGGUGUUAAGAAAAUUGAUAUUCGUAAUUUGGACACCCUGUAUUUAAACCAUGCAAACGUUUUUGACCUAGCCUCCUAAAAGAAUCGGAAGCGAAAUGAGGAAUCGGAAUCGCUCAAAUUCAAAUAAUGCCCAACCCUACUUGAAGAUGUCGGCAUGAAGUUAAAGUAGCCCUGUUAAAAACAAAACAACGAAAAAGCUUAUCAGACUGCAACCGUGUUAGCAUGUUGCCUCCUCGACCUGCUGCCUUUGCGUUUUGUCGUGAUGACAUGGUUUUUGUUUUUCUUCUUGUUUUUCCAAGUAAAGAUUGUCUGCAAAAAGAAAAAAAAAAGCUGUGCUCGUGUAUCUCUCAGACCGUCAUUUCCCCCAAAGGCCAAGUCACAGAUGGGUGUAGGCUAGUGACUCUCAACUAUUGUGCCGUGGCACAUUAGUGUGCCGUGGGAAAUUAUCAAAUUUCACGUAAUUGCUCAAACAAUUCUUUAUUUACAAGAUAUAAUGCAUCUUUGUUCAUCUAUUUAUGCCAGUGAGGCAUAGUGACAGACAGAAAAAAUAAAUGCUAUUCUAUUAGAUGGCAGGAAGUACAUACAGUAAUUAAUGUAUCCACUUUUUGUGACAUUUUUGUCUGUGUGUGUGCUGUGAGAUUUUUCAAUUGUAAUAUAUGUGCCUUGGCUGCAAAGGUUGCAAAUCAUUGGUGUAGGCAGACAGCGUAGUUCAGAUCUUCAUCAGUGUCUUGAAUCCUAGAUCAACAACAUAAAAGGACAUGUCUACUCUAAUUGGCGCAGUGGAACUUCUGAAAACUCACAUUUCAUACAGUUUGGAGUUUUUUUCUGGAAAGGUAAAUGCUUAAGUACAUCAGUAAAUUAUCAAAUCUCGUGAAAUUUCAAGUGUACAGUGGCGCCAUGAGUCAAAGUUUUACUCUCAAACUAAACAUAAAACAAGUUCACAUUGUGUAUUUAAAAUAACCGCAUCAAUCAAACUUUAUUUGUAAGCGCUUUUCAUACACUACGUGCAACUCAAAGCUCUUUAACAUAAAUUCAAAAUAUAAAAAUAAAUCAAUCCCAGCCUCCGCUUUUCAACAAGGACACAGACACGCACACACAUACAGGUUAAAAAUAAUUCCAUAAUGACCUAAUAACCAGUGCCCAGUUGUUCAAAGGGAAUUUGAUUGGAUUUUUGAUGGAUUGGAUCAAUUCAUGAGAAUGGGUUUCAUGAUACAGUACGUGCUGAGGGCUGAAAUGACCAAUAGAAACGCAAUCUCCGUUCACACGAUUCCAAGAUGGCGGCCCCCAUCGAAGUUGUCAGUAACCCGUAACUCAUGUGAAAAAGGUUGGCAUAAACUCCUUGCCCAGCCCUUCUCUGUACCAGUGGCCUGGUUCACUUUGACGUUCUCCGACAUGCUUUAGAGCAGUGGUGUCCAACAUAUGGCCCACAGGCCAAAACUGGCCCGCUAGCGGCUACAAUACGGCCCACAGGAUGAAUUCGAAAGUAAAAAAAUAACCCAAGACAUUGUGGUGGUGGGGACUAUGGGUAAUUUUGAGAAUGAUUAUGCUAAUGUAGAAAAUGAAAUGAAAAUAAUUCCUAGCUCCUCAUAAAUUGAUUUCAUUUUAAAGUGCAAUACUAUAUUCAUUAGUUCCAAAUACUUGUGACUAAAUGUAUUGUGCCUUAAAAGACAAUCACUGUGAUAGUUAUUAUGCACACAUAUACUGCAGAUGACAAACUGAAGCAAAAUUUUCCAAGAAAUCUGCAGUUGUUUUGUUAAGUGAUUUUUUUUUUAAAGUCAUUUAAUCUUGAGAUUUUGCUAAUGUACUUGUUUUGCAUUAAAACUUAUUGUUAUCUGUUAUUAUAUUACUAUAAGUAUAGUAUGAUUUUUGUGGUUGGGCCCCUUUGACAUUGUAUUAUGAAAUAAUAGUGUCUGAUCUUAUUAUAUACAACAACAUCAAAUUAGGCUGCGGUCACCAGCUUCAGUUUCCGUCUCCAGUUUCAUUGGUUGGAUCCUGGUCAGUAUCAUUCAGGUUGCCAGGAAAAAUAAUAAAAAAGCAAUCUUGUCUUUAUGGGAUUUAUUACAAAGGGCUAUUUACAUAGUAAGUACAGAGAGAGAGAGAGAGUGCACUAGUGGUUUACAUCCAAACAUCUGUCAAAUCCAUCAAUUUUUCAUGCAAGAGCAAGCUUAAAGCACUGCUCACUUUCUGAGACUAGCACUGGACUUCACUUUCUGGGAUUUUGGCUGAGUAUGUUGCACUGAUGAAUUCGGAACAAGUGUUGAGUGCUAUAAUGAUAAUAAUUUCUGCACCUAAAACUGACAAAAAUUGAGUUACCAUGACUUGUGUUUGUUUCACUCACUGUCUCUCCGACCCCCGCUUGUUGUUGUUGUUUUUGUUUUGUGUGUAGAAUUGGGCGAAGGUAACGUGUGUGUGUGUGCGUGUGUGCGUGUGCGUGUGUGUGCGCGCGUGCGUGCCUGUGUGCACACGUGUGUUUGAACUAUACAAUUUGAACCUUUGGAUGGAAUAAGAGUUGAAAGAAAAUACACAGGGGCAUACAGUAUAUUAGUAGACAUUAACAAUAAUAAUAAUGACAAUAUAGCUCUUGAGAAUGAAGUUUGGCUUGGAAAUAGCACUCUAAAAGUGAUGAAGUAUGUGGACUAUUUGAUGAUUUGUUUGCUAAAAAGAAGCAUGCACAAGUGGGUUUAAACGGCACAAAACAAACAAGUAAGGGGCCACUUUGCGGGUAUUGCUGACAGCCACACGUUGUCCUUCCACUCUAAUGCAGUGCUUUUUUUUUAUUGAUGUGGGUCAUCUCCUGGGGCCUCCUUCAGCUCAGGGCCCUAGGCAAUUACCUGCCUUGUUUACCCUGUUGUGAUACCUCUUUUUAUACAAACAAUAAAAGAUACAUUUUUCAUAAUGUCCACUUUUAUUUUUCUUAGAAAUGAUUUGUCACUCAGCUUCAAUCUAUCUUCUAUACAUACCUGUUUGGUCUCGUGCUUACUGAAAUUGAAAUGGGAAGAAAAAACAUCUAAUAAAUUUGCUCUAUGUGUGAAAUGAA